rnacentral:rRNA from 1 species
AGGGGGACAACAGUUGGAAACGACUGCUAAUACCGCAUACGAUCUAAUCUCGGCAUCGAGGAAAGAUGAAAGGUGGCCUCUAUUUAUAAGCUAUCACUGAAGGAGGGGAUUGCGUCUGAUUAGCUAGUUGGAGGGGUAACGGCCCACCAAGGCGAUGAUCAGUAGCCGGUCUGAGAGGAUGAACGGCCACAUUGGGACUGAGACACGGCCCAGACUCCUACGGGAGGCAGCAUG